rnacentral:rRNA from 1 species
AGUGAACGCUGGCGGUAGGCCUAACACAUGCAAGUCGAACGGCAGCACAGUAAGAGCUUGCUCUUACGGGUGGCGAGUGGCGGACGGGUGAGGAAUACAUCGGAAUUUACUUUUUCGUGGGGGAUAACGUAGGGAAACUUACGCUAAUACCGCAUACGACCUACGGGUGAAAGCAGGGGAUCUUCGGACCUUGCGUGAUUGAAUGAGCCGAUGUCGGAUUAGCUAGUUGGCGGGGUAAAGGCCCACCAAGGCGACGAUCCGUAGCUGGUCUGAGAGGAUGAUCAGCCACACUGGAACUGAGACACGGUCCAGACUCCUACGGGAGGCAGCAGUGGGGAAUAUUGGACAAUGGGCGCAAGCCUGAUCCAGCCAUACCGCGUGGGUGAAGAAGGCCUUCGGGUUGUAAAGCCCUUUUGUUGGGAAAGAAAAGCAGCAGGUUAAUACCCCGCUGUUCUGACGGUACCCAAAGAAUAAGCACCGGCUAACUUCGUG